AUGUCUGUAUAUAUAUGUAUAUAUAUAUAUGUAUAUAUACAUAUAUAUAAAUAUUUAAAUUUUCAUGUUGCAAUAUAUGAUGGAAUAAAGAUCUAUACUAAAAAGGAUUAAUAAAAAAUAAGUCACGGAACUUCAGCAUGCGAUGGUACGGUGCCUAUCCUUCCAAAGGACGAAUUGUUUUACUGCACGCGAUCCACUACCAGGCUCUGGCUGCUAAGCUUAAAUUCGAUUUUCCGAUAUUAGUAUGUUGGUCCUAGUACAGUUAGUCCCGUGUCAUUGAUCGCUAAACAUGUUCUUAGACGAAAGCUCCGUAACGAUCUAUCACGGGUGCUUUUUAGUUCUGUAAAAAUGCUCAGCUCGAGCAACAAUCGCGAUCGUUUAAUUGAUAUAUCAACAACAAUGUCAAAUUCUGCUGGAGUUUCUAACACGUAUCUCGUACGUCCACGAUUACCUUUAAGGAUUUAUUCGAAACCUAAAAUAUCUGGAAGUUAUACUCAUUAUCCAGAUUCGGCUGGUCUCUCGCGUACGAAAAGAACUAAAACUAGAAAAACAAAUGGAGUUCAAAAAAUAGAUUUAAACAAAAGGAAAAGUCCGGAUUACAUAGAAGUGAUUUAUAGAGAAGCUGUUUCCAAAUUAAAAUAUUUGUUAGCUGAAACUUAUUUGCCAGUGGAUUCUUCUGGAAAACAACAAUGUGUUAAAAGUAAUUAUCAAUCCGGUAGAAUUACUAAAUCUGGGAACGAUAUAGACGAACAAUUUUAUAAAGACGAAAGUUUUAUAAGCGAAGGUUCAAGAAUGAAAGAUUUAAAUAACGACAAUGUCUGCUUACUACCAACACCACGUCCACUUUCCUCGAAAAGUAUUCAUCCAUCGAAAGCUUAUAGUAAUUUAGCACUUUCUAUUGCUGAAUUACAAUCUGUUCCACCAGAAAUUACUUCGUAUAUCGAACAGCAAGAAGAAUAUAUCGAACAAAUGGAACAGGAGUCCCAAUAUUGUAGAAGCGAAUUAACUAACUUGCUUAGCAAAGUUAGAGAGGUCAUAGCCGAAAAUGAAGAAUUGCAUAAUAAAACUAAAACUGGAUUUUUAAAGUAUGCUCUAGACGAGCAUGAGAAUCGUCCUGAAAAUGAUUGCACUUCUAACGAGCAUAGUCUUGCAUGUACGAGUAGCAUAGAUUCCAAGAUGAAUAAAUCAUUAAAAAUAUUAGAAGGGCCCAAUAUAAUAUUUGAAUCAAGAAUUAGCGAGCUGGAGGCACAAUUGACCCAAGCUAAGCUUGAGUUAAGAAAAGUUCAAGAAGAAAAUCAACUUAAUGUAAAGAAAUUAGAAAAUUCUUUAAGUAACGGUAAUGUGGAAAUAUCAGCACAAUUGAAUCAAACUUUAAGAGCUAAAUACGAUGCAGAAAUCAAAGUAGAAGAAUUACAAAAAGCAUUAUCUGCAAUGCGGGAUAGAGAAAUAGAAUCUAGUCAAAAAGCUAAGCGUUCUAUGGAGAUGGCACAACAAAUGGAAUUUGAAAAAAAUCAAGCAGAAACUGAAGUAAAAAGAUUGAAGGACGAGUUGGAUAGACAACAUGAAAAACUCCGAGAAGCUGCUCAUGAAGCAAGCAGACGUAUUACUGAAGAAAGGCAACAAGUGGAGCGUAGAUACAGUCAACAAGUCGAACAACUUUCUGCUGAUAUAACUUCUCAGUGGAAUGCAGCUAAUAAAUCACAAUUAGAAUCUGAGAAACAGCAAAGGGAAUUGUUGGAUUUGAAGAGAGAUUUGUCUCAAAAGCAAACGAUCAUAGAUAAUCUAAAAAAAGAUUUGCAGAAUAGGAUAUCGAGUUUACAGAGCGAUCUUAAUCAAGCUUUGACUGAAAAAGAUAUGGCUGAACAAGAAGUAAUAGCUGCUAAAUUGGCAGCGGAAAGAAAUGAUAGGCAGACUAAACAAGAGCAAAUUAGAUUGCAAACGGAAAUAAAUGCUUACAAACAACGCAUGGAAAGAGCGGAUGCAGAUUUAGUUCAUUGUAGGCGUGAAAAUUUGAGGCUUUUAGAGCAGAUAGCUUUGUUGGAGAAAGAGAUCAAUUUAAACAGAAUGAUGUACUCUGAAGAUUUUCAAAGAAAAGAUAUAAUCGGUCAAGAGAAUAAAAAGGAGACGCCUACGACGACGAAACUGGACAUGGAAACUAAACAUGAGAAGCUGAUUAAGAAGCGCUCGGUUUACGAUGUUUGCGGAACAUGUCAGUCUUCCUCUGGUCUCACCAAUAUGCGCAUGCACGCUGAAACUACGUGGGAGGAGCUGAAACAGACUUCGAGCAGCUACCAAGGGAACUUCUCUCUGACGCCCCUCUCUUUAUAUACAAUUCAGGAUGGCUAUGUAUUUACUACGUACGUGUGUGUGAACUACAUCAAUGUAGAUAUCCCCGAGAAGACACGAACGUUCCCGAUCGUCUGAUAUUUGCACCAAUGAAAAUUCGACGAUGGAUUAAAAAUCAUAGAAGAUAUUUUCUUCGGCUUGAAAUCACAAUUUGUUGGAUUUCGUAGAAAAUUUUCCGAGGAAAUCUUGCAUGGGAAAAUUUCGUUUAUACGAGCUUACCUUCUUCUCAAGAAAAAAAAAAAGAAAAAAAAAGAAAAGGUUAUACAAGAAAAAACGUGAUGCUGCCGUAAAAUGUAUAAAAGGAUAAAA
rnacentral:misc_RNA from 1 species